CGGGAAUUCCGAGACAGGUGCUGCAUGGCUGUCGUCAGCUCGUGCCGUGAGGUGUUGGGUUAAGUCCCGCAACGAGCGCAACCCUAUUGCCAGUUGCUACCAGGUAAUGCUGGGCACUCUGGUGAGACUGCCCGGUUAACGGGGAGGAAGGUGGGGACGACGUCAAGUCAUCAUGGCCCUUACGCCUAGGGCUACACACGUACUACAAUGGCGCAUACAAAGGGCAGCGAUACCGCGAGGUGGAGCCAAUCCCAAAAAGUGCGUCCCAGUCCGGAUUAGCAGUCUGCAACUCGACUGCAUGAAGUUGGAAUCGCUAGUAAUUCGAGAUCAGCAUGCUCGGGUGAAUGCGUUCCCGGGCCUU
rnacentral:rRNA from 1 species